CAGCAGCCGCGGUAAUACGCAGGUGGCAAGCGUUGUCCGGAAUUAUUGGGCGUAAAGGGCUCGCAGGCGGUUUCUUAAGUCUGAUGUGAAAGCCCCCGGCUCAACCGGGGAGGGUCAUUGGAAACUGGGAAACUUGAGUGCAGAAGAGGAGAGUGGAAUUCCACGUGUAGCGGUGAAAUGCGUAGAGAUGUGGAGGAACACCAGUGGCGAAGGCGACUCUCUGGUCUGUAACUGACGCUGAGGAGCGAAAGCGUGGGGAGCGAACAGGAUUAGAUACCCCCGUAGUCCCUGUCUCUUAUAC
rnacentral:rRNA from 1 species